AUGUAUGAAUCACCUUACAUAUAUGAAUCUGCAUUUAACCCUCACAAUCACCUUACAUGUAUGAAUCACCUGACAUAUAUGAAUCUGCAUUUAACCUUCACAAUCACCUUACAUGUAUGAAUCACCUUACAUAUAUGAAUCUGCAUUUAACCCUCACAAUCACCUUACAUGUAUGAAUCACCUUACAUAUAUGAAUCUGCAUUUAACCCUCACAAUCACCUUACAUGUAUGAAUCACCUUACAUAUAUGAAUCUGUAUUUAACCGUCACAAUCACCUUACAUGUAUGAAUCACCUUACAUAUAUGAAUCUGCAUUUAACCCUCACAAUCACCUUACAUGUAUGAAUCACCUGACAUAUAUGAAUCUGCAUUUAACCCUCACAAUGUUACAUAUAUGAAUCUGCAUUUAACCUUCACAGUCACCUUACAUGUAUGAUCACCUUACAUAUAUGAAUCUGCAUUUAACCUUCACAAUCACCUUACAUGUGUGAAUCACCUUACAUAUAUGAAUCUGCAUUUAACCCUCACAAUCACCUUACAUGUAUGAAUCACCUGACAUAUAUGAAUCUGCAUUUAACCUUCACAAUCACCUUACAUGUAUGAAUCACCUUACAUAUAUGAAUCUGCAUUUAACCCUCACAAUCACCUUACAUGUAUGAAUCACCUUACAUAUAUGAAUCUGCAUUUAACCCUCACAAUCACCUUACAUGUAUGAAUCACCUUACAUAUAUGAAUCUGUAUUUAACCUUCACAAUCACCUUACAUGUAUGAAUCACCUUACAUAUAUGAAUCUGCAUUUAACCCUCACAAUCACCUUACAUGUAUGAAUCACCUUACAUAUAUGAAUCUGCAUUUAACCUUCACAAUCACCUCACAUGUAUGAAUCACCUUACAUAUAUGAAUCUGCAUUUAACCCUCACAAUGUAAUUGCCACUUUGCAGAUGGGGAAACUGAGGAUGAGAGAGGUUAACUUGCCCAAGUAUGGUUUCAUAGCCCUCCAUGACAGGAAGGUGGGAGAGCCAAAUGAAGACCAUCCUGGCCAUCUCUGGGCUCAGCUGCUCUUUGCGGCUUGACAGGGACCAGCUAUAUGAAUUGCGGUCACCACUUUUAAUCAGCUCCUCCAGGAGGAGGUCCUCUGGGAGAAAAGACGCAGUUGCCUGGUGACUAAAGUGUUUCCCAGUCCUCCAAAAGUCAUGCUGUGUUAUUGGGGGGGAUAAAGCUUGCCCCCCAGCAGGGUGCCCCUCUUCCAGGGCUCUAGACAAAAAAUCCAAUGAGCCCUGGCCAGACCCCAUGCAAAGCUGCAGACCUCAUUCUUGCUUCUUGCUUUGUUGACGCCUGCAG
rnacentral:lncRNA from 1 species